rnacentral:rRNA from 1 species
GAUGAACGCUGGCGGCGUGCCUAAUACAUGCAAGUCGAGCGAACGGACGAGAAGCUUGCUUCUCUGAUGUUAGCGGCGGACGGGUGAGUAACACGUGGAUAACCUACCUAUAAGACUGGGAUAACUUCGGGAAACCGUAGCUAAUACCGGAUAAUAUUUUGAACCGCAUGGUUCAAAAGUGAAAGACGGUCUUUCUGUCACUUAUAGAUGGAUCCGCGCUGCAUUAGCUAGUUGGUAAGGUAACGGCUUACCAAGGCAACGAUGCAUAGCCGACCUGAGAGAGUGAUCGGCCACACUGGAACUGAGACACGGUCCAGACUCCUACGGGAGGCAGCAGUAGGGAAUCUUCCGCAAUGGGCGAAAGCCUGACGGAGCAACGCCGCGUGAGUGAUGAAGGUCUUCGGAUCGUAAAACUCUGUUAUUAGGGAAGAACAUAUGUGUAAGUAACUGUGCACAUCUUGACGGUACCUAAUCAGAAAGCCACGGCUAACUACGUG